AUAAAUCAAAUAUAAAUCAAAGAAGACAAACCAAAACAAAAUACACAAUUUCUCUCCUCUCCCCCAAUUCAUCGUGUCUCUCCCAUUCUUCUCUCAUUCCCUGCCAUAGAGAUUUCAAUCUUUAAAAUCUUAAUUGGAUCUUUAACAUUAGCGAUUGAAGCCCGCUUUUUGCCUCCUUCUCAGUAGACAUCAUCCGUUAAAGAUAAGAAAUAGUUAUCUGAGUACGUGUAUGAACAAACCUUCAAGGUAAUCUGAUUUUACCAUUUAUGAGAUUAGUUCACUGCAAAUGGGUCUAAUUUU
rnacentral:lncRNA from 1 species